rnacentral:misc_RNA from 1 species
ACACGGCCGGCCGCAUUCGGAGCAAGUGGUUAGCACACCGACGACAGGUGACAACUGACAGGGCACACAGCACAAGCAUUUUCCGGUUAUUAAAGGCCGAGGCAGACGCUGCCCGCUGGCGCUCUGCACCCGGUUUUCAGGAGCUUCCCCCCACUGUUUUCCACGCGCCGGCGGCGGAGCCCCAAAACCACGUGCCGCGUGGCCGGCCGGGCCGGCUGGCUAUAAGAGACCACCGGCCGCACGACACUGUCUCCCCAAGACGUACAAGCACACGGCCACCGAACCAAGCAAGCAGCAUCGGACCAGCGGGCGCAUCGAUCGAGCCAGUACUCCUCGACCGGCCCGGCCAUAGAAGCAUAAUAACACUACAGGGGGUGUGGAGCGGAGAGGUAGAUGGCGAGCGGGAGCGGCAAGGCGAAGGCGUCGUCGUGGGCGGCGGCGAUGAGCGUCGGCACCGUGGAGGCGCUCAAGGACCAGGCCGGCCUGUGCCGCUGGAACUACGCGUUCCGGCAGGCGGCGCAGCAGCGCGCCAGGAGGCCAGCGGCAGGCGCGAGCGGCUCAGUCGGCCCCGGCAGCGGCAGCGGCAGCGCGCACGCGCCGCCUGCUUCUGCUCCCUCGGGCUGCGCCGCGGCGGCGAGGAGG